rnacentral:rRNA from 1 species
GGCUUGGCUGGGUGGUCUUGCCGAAAGGUAAGCACUGCUCUGGUCGGGUCUUUCCUUCUGGGGAACCAGCGUGCUCUUAACUGAGUGCGUUGGGGAUCCAGGACUUUUACCUUGAGAAAAUUAGAGUGUUCAAAGCAGGCUAUCGCCCGAAUACAUUAGCAUGGAAUAAUAAAAUAGGAC